UACGUAGGGCGCAAGCGUUGUCCGGAAUUAUUGGGCGUAAAGAGCUCGUAGGCGGUCUGUCGCGUCGGAUGUGAAAACCCAGGGCUCAACCCUGGGCCUGCAUUCGAUACGGGCAGACUAGAGUUCGGUAGGGGAGACUGGAAUUCCUGGUGUAGCGGUGAAAUGCGCAGAUAUCAGGAGGAACACCGGUGGCGAAGGCGGGUCUCUGGGCCGAAACUGACGCUGAGGAGCGAAAGCGUGGGGAGCAAACAGG
rnacentral:rRNA from 1 species